UCUGCUGAUGGGCGCUUAGACUGAUAAUAGAACUGUCACAUUAUGAAUAUAAUGAUGAGUUUUAAAAGGAAAUGAAUGUUCUAAGGAAGGGGAAAGAGAAAGGGAAAGCAACCCUCAUGUUUAAUUUCUAUUUGCUCCUCAGGAUACCUGACCCAUUUUAAGGAAGAAGAAAGACCAUGGAGAGAAAAGCUCAGGAAUAGACAUACUCGUCAACCAGUCCCAGACACAUGAGAGAACACAGCUUAAGCCCACUAUCUCCCAUACAGCUUCUGACCACCCAGCCCAGAGCAGAGACACCUACCUGCCAAAUAUUCUCAGAAAUAGCAGAAUGGUAGCUAUCCUUAGCCACAAAGAUUUGGUACAGCUCCACAUACUAACAGUUAGCUGAUUCAACCUCGGCUUCUUGACUUCACAUUUCCAAAUCCAUUCAUGACUUCAAGUCCUGAAGAAAAGCCAGUUACAUCCACUGGGAUGAAUGAAACAGACUGUCCAUGGAAAAUCUCACAACACCAAAUAUUCAAUUGAAAAUACUUAAUGGAACCUCUGGAGGAAUGUUUACAGAAAUUACUCCAUUCCCUCCUUUAAAAAAACAAAGAAACAAAUAAAAUGGU